GACGAACGCUGACGGCGUGCUUAACACAUGCAAGUCGAACGGAAAGGCCCUGCUUUUGUGGGGUGCUCGAGUGGCGAACGGGUGAGUAACACGUGAGUAACCUGCCCUUGACUUUGGGAUAACUUCAGGAAACUGGGGCUAAUACCGGAUAGGAGCUCCUGCUGCAUGGUGGGGGUUGGAAAGUUUCGGCGGUUGGGGAUGGACUCGCGGCUUAUCAGCUUGUUGGUGGGGUAGUGGCUUACCAAGGCUUUGACGGGUAGCCGGCCUGAGAGGGUGACCGGCCACCAUGGGACUGAGGUACGGCCCAGAAUCCAACGGGAGGCAGCAGUGGGGAAUAUUGCACAAUGGGGGGAAGCCUGAUGCAACAACGCCGGGUGCGGGAUGACGGCCUUCGGGUUGUAAACCGCUUUCGCCUGUGACGAAGCGUGAGUGACGGUAAUGGGUAAAGAAGCACCGGCUAACUACGUG
rnacentral:rRNA from 1 species